rnacentral:rRNA from 1 species
GAUGAACGCUGGCGGCGUGCCUAAUACGUGCAAGUCGAGCGAACGGACGAGAAGCUUGCUUCUCUGAUGUUAGCGGCGGACGGGUGAGUAACACGUGGAUAACCUACCUAUAAGACUGGGAUAACUUCGGGAAACCGGAGCUAAUACCGGAUAAUAUUUUGAACCGCAUGGUUCAAAAGUGAAAGACGGUCUUGCUGUCACUUAUAGAUGGAUCCGCGCUGCAUUAGCUAGUUGGUAAGGUAACGGCUUACCAAGGCAACGAUGCAUAGCCGACCUGAGAGGGUGAUCGGCCACACUGGAACUGAGACACGGUCCAGACUCCUACGGGAGGCAGCAGUAGGGAAUCUUCCGCAAUGGGCGAAAGCCUGACGGAGCAACGCCGCGUGAGUGGUGAAGGUCUUCGGAUCGUAAAACUCUGUUAUUAGGGAAGAACAUAUGUGUAAGUAACUGUGCACAUCUUGACGGUACCUAAUCAGAAAGCCACGGCUAACUACGUG